AUGUCUGUAGAACCAGCAGUCAAAGCGAUUCGCCACUAUCAAACCAUGGAUAUGGUAUUCUACUAUUCUGAAAGAGAAUCAACUUCAUCUAUAAAACGAUCAGCAGAAGGAACAAGCCUUUGGAAUGCCACGGAUAUCCAUGUAGGCAUCAACAUUAGUGGAACCACUUCUAAUUUCAAAAGGCGGGGGCGGGCGACCGCUCAAAGGUUGGUAGCUUUGGUUUAUCUGGCAGAUAUGCGCCAUUUGGAGGGUCGUUCUUUUCGCCUGGCCUGGGCAGGAGGCAACCCCUCGGCGACGGAUUAG
rnacentral:rRNA from 1 species